GUACCCUUGCAGACAUCCAAUAUAAUUGAAACAAUAUAGUGAAGAUUAGCAUGACCCCUAUGUAAGGAUGACACGCUUAAAUCAAGUGCUCGGCAUCUUUUC